UACGUAGGGUGCGAGCGUUAAUCGGAAUUACUGGGCGUAAAGUGUGCGCAGGCGGCCGCGCAAGUCGAGUGUGAAAUCCCCGAGCUUAACUUGGGAAUUGCGCUCGAAACUACGUGGCUGGAGUGUGGCAGAGGAAGGUGGAAUUCCACGUGUAGCGGUGAAAUGCGUAGAUAUGUGGAGGAACACCGAUGGCGAAGGCAGCCUUCUGGGCCAACACUGACGCUCAUGCACGAAAGCGUGGGGAGCAAACAGGG
rnacentral:rRNA from 1 species